rnacentral:rRNA from 1 species
CAGCAGCCACGGUAAUACCGAGGGUGCGAGCGUUAAUCGGAUUUACUGGGCGUAAAGCGUGCGUAGGCGGCUUCUUAAGUCGGAUGUGAAAUCCCUGAGCUUAACUUAGGAAUUGCAUUCGAUACUGGGAAGCUAGAGUAUGGGAGAGGAUGGUAGAAUUCCAGGUGUAGCGGUGAAAUGCGUAGAGAUCUGGAGGAAUACCGAUGGCGAAGGCAGCCAUCUGGCCUAAUACUGACGCUGAGGUACGAAAGCAUGGGGAGCAAACAGGAUUAGAUACCCCAGUAGUCCCUGUCUCUUAUAU